rnacentral:lncRNA from 1 species
CUCCUCCUCUAUGCACUGUGCUUUUCUUUUCUUUCUCUUGUUUCCAGAAGAAAUUGAUUAGAAUGGAUUUAAACAACCAUUUAAAUUCAUGGAGAGAUAUUUGAGAAGCAGUUCUGGAUCCAGAAGUUAGAACUUGCAAUGGCAGGAUAUUGAAAUAUUGAAACACCUCUUCCAAAAAAAACAUUAGUUCUUCAAAAUAUGAACAGA